GUGCUCGCUUCGGCAGCACAUAUACCAAAA
rnacentral:snRNA from 1 species